AUACCAUGGUGAGGACACAUACUCAACAAUUCCUUAAACUUCUCCCAAGCUUGAUACAAAGUCUCACUAUCCUUUUGUGCAAAGAUGGAGAUCAGCAUUUUCAAAGGGU